rnacentral:rRNA from 1 species
CGGAGGAUCCAAGCGUUAUCCGGAAUCAUUGGGUUUAAAGGGUCCGUAGGCGGUUAGUAAGUCAGUGGUGAAGCCCAUCGCUCAACGGUGGAACGGCCAUUGAUACUGCUGAACUUGAAUUAUUAGGAAGUAACUAGAAUAUGUAGUGUAGCGGUGAAAUGCUUAGAGAUUACAUGGAAUACCAAUUGCGAAGGCAGGUUUACUACUAAUUGAUUGACGCUGAUGGACGAAAAGCGUGGGUAGCGAGCAGGAUU